UGGGGAAUUUUGGACAAUGGGCGAAAGCCUGAUCCAGCAAUGCCGCGUGUGUGAAGAAGGCCUUCGGGUUGUAAAGCACUUUUGUCCGGAAAGAAAUGGCUCUGGUUAAUACCUGGGGUCGAUGACGGUACCGGAAGAAUAAGGACCGGCUAACUACGUGCCAGCAGCCGCGGUAAUACGUAGGGUCCAAGCGUUAAUCGGAAUUACUGGGCGUAAAGCGUGCGCAGGCGGUUGUGCAAGACCGAUGUGAAAUCCCCGAGCUUAACUUGGGAAUUGCAUUGGUGACUGCACGGCUAGAGUGUGUCAGAGGGGGGUUAGAAUUCCACGUGUAGCAGUGAAAUGCGUAGAGAUGUGGAGGAAUACCGAUGGCGAAGGCAGCCCCCUGGGAUAACACUGGCGCUCAUGCACGAAAGCGUGGGGAGCAAACAGGAUUAGAUACCCUGGUAGUCCACGCCCUAAACGAUGUCAACUAGUUGUUGGGGAUUCAUUUUCCUUAGUAACGUAGCUAACGCGUGAAGUUGACCGCCUGGGGAGUACGGUCGCAAGAUUAAAACUUAAAGGAAUUGACGGGGUCAUAGCUGUUUCCU
rnacentral:rRNA from 1 species